CGCCCCGCCCGCCCCGCCGAGCACCCGGGCGCCGCGGCUCCGGCCCCGCCGCCUCUCCCUGCGCCCUGGGCCCCUCGUCCUCCGCCGCGCCUCCCGGGCGGGGGCCUUGGGCAGGGGCCGCCGUCUCCCGCUAGAGGGACCCGAGCUGCCUCUGCGGCCGUCUCGCCCCAACCGACGGCGAGCGCCUCCGGAGCCGGGACGGCGUUCUCGUCACUUAGAACUGGCACGUAGUGGGGCCUAGCAAGAGGCUGCCAGGUGGAAGGAAGCAGAGGUGGCGCGGGCCCGGCACUUAGUGGGUGCGCCCUGAGUGUUCGGUCAUUGCCGGCCUUGGGGACUUGCUCGCAGGCUUGGAGGUGGGGGGCACUCUGACGUGUCGCCUCUGGGAGAACCGUGAGACCCGCGGUGAGCAGAGUUGACGACUGGCAACCAGGACCUCCCAGGGGUAGCCUGGGAGAUCUCUUGAGAGACGGGGGAAGCUCUGACUGUGCAAGAUUGAACUUCAGACAAGGCUGAACUACCACCUGUAAACCAGAGACAACUUUUCAUGUGAAUCAACAGAAUCAAAGACUAAAAUAAAAGGGGAAAUAACGUAUCUUGAUUGUGAUAGUACACAGAAGCUAACUUAUCCACCACUGUUGGACUAUGAUAGGGACAGUCAGUACCAUUCCUUUCUUCUAAAUCCAGAGCCAAUGAGAAGAGGAAAAUACAACUCUAUCACCAACAGAGCUGAACUAAAGAAUGUGGCUUGGCUGAUGACUGGGAGGCUUUUUAAUAUUCCUGAAUUAAAAUUAUCUCCCCCAAAACUCCGACCUCCCCCUUGAAGGGGCCUAGCAACUUUCACUGUGUGAAAGAUUAGAGAAGAUUGUCCUUUUUCUGAGGGCAGGCAGAUCCGAAUUCACCAGUUAGGUCUCCUGUGGUACCUCCCCCACUGGCUGAACCCAAGAGGAAACCUAAGUGGAAGUGAGCCCAGAUGACAGUGUCCUUCAAGGCUAGGCUCUGGGAAAGAACGGAAGGUGGAUCUGGAAAGACAAAGGCAGAAUAUCUAGCAGCUCCAGGAGAAGUACUGGCUUGGAUCAGGAAUGUAACACAUCACUGCUGAACUAACUCCUGAAAGGUGGUUCAGAACAGAAGUUUUUAAAGGUACAAGACUUCAGUUUGAACAGAAGACUCAGAGAGGCAGAAACGUCGACACUACUGAGGAGGAAGAAGACCUCCCUUGGUACCCAGGAAAGGAAGAAAGACUUGGAAGACAUAUGUGUGCUUAAGAUUUUGUGUUCGUUUAGAGUUAUUCUCCUUCCCACUCACCUGUAUAAGCAUAUGGACUUUUAAAGUUGGCAUGAUUGAAAAUAAAUAAAUUAAAU